rnacentral:lncRNA from 1 species
CCAGAUUUUUAGUAUUCGUAUUGUUAUCUUAGAAAGUCUUACUGAUUAAAAUACUACAAUAGGUAACAAUUUUACAAUUUAGUAGUGUCAAAUUAACCCUGUGGUUAUGACCCGUGUAUGUAGCAUAUUAGUCCUGAAUACAACGUUUGGUGGUGCGCCUGUCAGAUGCGGAACGUACAGAUAAGGUAAUAGGUAACAGGUGAAUAUACUAUUGGUAUCGGUAGCGGACUCGACCUGGAACUUCUUAAUUAUUGGCAAUAUUAAUUACGUGGAAAACAAAAGGGCCUGGAGUGGUGUAAUUUUUAAUCUACACCUUUGUACUAUAUUAGUUAUAUAUAAAGUUGAAUUCUGUGAUUCGUCGUUUUUACGUGAUGACGGCUAACAAAUUGGACCUCGUAAUUUUAGUAUUAUAGAUAAAAUA